rfam:Colletotrichum gloeosporioides Nara gc5 unplaced genomic scaffold scaffold314, whole genome shotgun sequence.
UCGUAUGAUGAAACGGCACUGGGCUCCGAGAGUACCCAAUGGGACUCGCUACAUGAGCAGACAAGCCACUUUGCGGCAGGCCUAGAAAACCUCGCCCACUGAUC